AGCGCUGGGUUGGGUGGAAAGUUUGUCUGGAGAACUCCCACGGCUCUGGCCUCCCCUCCCCCUCCCUGCUUGCUGCCUCCCAGCGAGCAGGAGAAGGCUGGUUAGCAGAGAAAUGGCAACUCGGCCGGGAGCUGGAACUAGAAACUUUCUGUCAGUGUAACAGCCGCGUGGGUGGUGACCCAAUGGUGGUUGGGCUUCGGGUCACGUGACGACUUCUUUGUCGCUCCGGAAGAGAAUUGUGAAGUUUAGGAGAAUUGCCAGGAAAAAAAAAAAAAUCAAGAUUUGGGGGAAUUACCCACGUAGACAGAAGGUGUGUUAACUUGGGCGCUUCUUGGAUUCUACCCUGAGGAGGAGGCGCAUGGUGAGAGGAGAGGUCUGUGUAAGUGGGGUGGGGGUCGCAGGGUCCGUGGUGCUGGCUCGGGGCCAUAGGGGGCGC